rfam:Anolis carolinensis chromosome 4, whole genome shotgun sequence.
CUGGGAUAUGGUGACAUGUACCCUAAAACCUGGUCAGGAAUGCUGGUGGGAGCGCUUUGUGCUCUGGCUGGAGUCCUUACCAUUGCCAUGCCCGUCCCAGUAAUUGUCAACAAU